AUUGAACGCUGGCGGCAGGCUUAACACAUGCAAGUCGAGCGAGCGGCGGACGGGUGAGUAAUGUCUGGGAAACUGCCUGAUGGAGGGGGAUAACUACUGGAAACGGUGGCUAAUACCGCAUACUAUCGGAUGAACCCAUAUGGGAUUAGCUAGUAGGUGGGGUAAAGGCUCACCUAGGCGACGAUCCCUAGCUGGUCUGAGAGGAUGACCAGCCACACUGGAACUGAGACACGGUCCAGACUCCUACGGGAGGCAGCAGUGGGGAAUAGUGCACAAUGGGCGCAAGCCUGAUGCAGCCAUGCCGCGUGUGUGAAGAAGGCCUUCGGGUUGUAAAGCACUUUCAGCGAGGAGGCGUUACUCGCAGAAGAAGCACCGGCUAACUCCGUGCCAGCAGCCGCGGUAAUAC
rnacentral:rRNA from 1 species